CCCAGAACUGUCAGAGGGGAAAAAAUCUGAAUAUUAGAAAUAUCUAGAUACGGAGCAUGGUUGCCGGUCAUCAGCUAUGUCCCAAAAAACAACCGCGCGCCCCUAUCGCGAGAUGUCGAGGGGAACUUCGCAGUACUACAAAUGGAGAAGUUUAAGGAGGCAUACGCGCACCAUAAUGGCAGACAGUAGCGAGAAACCAAAAGACGCAUGUACAGUUCUGCAAAUGUCAUAAACGUUCUGGGAGUAUACGACAAUGUUUGUCAAAAAAAACUGAAUUCGAAUGCAUUAUUCAACAAAAAGCAUGGUUUCUAUACAAGGCUGCGUGUCUACGGCAGCAGUUCACUCCGAUUCGCGACAUGAAAUAAAACGCCUGUAACUUCUUAAA